rnacentral:rRNA from 1 species
UACGGAGGGUGGCAAGCGUUGUCCGGAUUUAUUGGGUUUAAAGGGUGCGUAGGCGGAUUGGUAAGUCAGUGGUGAAAGUUUGCAGCUCAACUGUAAAAUUGCCAUUGAUACUGUCAGUCUUGAGUGCAGUCGAGGUGGUUGGAAUGCGUAGUGUAGCGGUGAAAUGCUUAGAUAUUACGCAGAACACCAAUAGCGAAGGCAGAUCGCCAGGCUGUAACUACGCUGAGGCACGAAAGUGUGGGAUCGAACAGG